CUUCUGGACCCAAAAUCCCUGGUCCCCUCCUAGACCACAUAUCCCAUAUAAAAGUCCCUCACGUGCAAAGCGCGUGCACGCGCCAACUCACCAAAAAACAAACCCUAACCUUGUGAUUUCCUUCCUUCUCCGGCGUCACCUCCGCAGCCAAAUCCCUCGUCGCCUGCGGCCUCCCUCCGAAGCCACCGCCCUCCAGCGCCACCUCCACACAAAGGCCCUACCCUCUCGACGACCAACGCCGCCUCCCUCCCGACGACCUCCAACGCCGCCUCCCCCCUAGCGUCGGGGACCUCCAACGCCGCCCUCGUCGCCUGCGGCCUCCCGUCCUCCACCUCCUGCCGACCUCCAGCGCCGCCUCUGGUUUUGUUUCCAGCAAACCUAUUUAGGUAUUCUCCAGCGACCUCCAUCCUUGCCACUGUGUGGGGAAGCAAGAUAAUUUAGGUAUUCUCCAGCAAGCCUAAAUUUUGGCUUUUUGGCAGUUACUACCCAUUUAUCGGGCAAAAGCAAGAUUCUGGUCUCUUCACCAAAUAAAUUAAGUUGUUUUGGUUCUAUGGGUUUCCUGGAGGAGUAUUGUGCUUGAGUUUACUUGAGUUUGAAACUUUGAUUGCAGGAGACAUUCACAUGCUGCCUGUGAUUCUUCGUGUAGGAAGAAUACUUAACUAUUGCAUAUCAUUUAAAUCUGUUUUAUGUCUUACCUUCUUGAGUAUAAAUCUCAUACAUGUGAUUUUUCCGUAUAGGAAGAAUACCUUACUUGUCUAUAUUAGUUAAAUCUGUUUUCUGUUCUAGCUUCUCGAGCAUUACGCUUGAGUCUUGAGUUUGGUUGCAGGAGACAUUUGCAUAUUACACAGCGAAAACAACUUUCAAACGACCUUUGUUAAAUGGGGUAGCAUAUGCUGAGAGAGUUGUUCAUUCCCAAAGGGAAACUUUUGAGAGUAGGCAGGGGUGGACCAUCAUGACCAUGAAAAGGGAGCCAUCACCCAUGCAGGAUGAAUAUGCUCCUGCAAUUUACUCCCAGGAGACUGUAUCUCACAUCGGCGUAAUUGUACAAGAAAAAAAAAAAUAUAGCACCUAGCUCUUCAUCAGCAUCAUCUUUCAUUCGACGAUGUAUGAACGAUGAGCAUUGUGAAACUCCUCACAUAUUAUGUAAUUGUGAGUUACGAGCUAUUCUCCAAACAUCAUGGACAAAAUAUAAUCCAGGAAGGUGAUUUUUUCAUGUCCAAAAUAUAGAUAAAGGGGAUGCGACUUCUUCUUAUGGUAUGAUUCAGAACCGUCAGAGAGAAGUAAGACAAUUAUUAAUGAGUUAAAGAAAAAUAACAACAAAUUAAAGUUAGAGAUUAGUGAAUUGAAGAAAUGUACUAGUUACGAGGGUGGCGUUGAAUACAAGGAUGUUCUGGAUGAUGGGAACAACAACCAUGUAAUAAUGCAGUUAAGUGAUGAAAUAUGUUCAUUGAAUAGGAAAUUUAGAAUUGUUAUCGUUGUAGUUGUAUGUACUUGGAUGAGUAUGUGGUUGAUCUAACUUAAUUUUUGAUGUAACUUAUGUAGAUAUGCAACUUCAGAGUUAAAAUAUUGACAAUCUUUGAGUCCA